rnacentral:rRNA from 1 species
UACGGGGGGAGCAAGCGUUGUUCGGAAUUACUGGGCGUAAAGGGCGCGUAGGCGGCUCGACAAGUCCCGCGUGAAAGCCCCCGGCUCAACUGGGGAACUGCGCGGGAAACUGUCGGACUUGAGUUCGGGAGAGGGAAGCGGAAUUCCGGGUGUAGCGGUGAAAUGCGUAGAUAUCCGGAGGAACACCGGUGGCGAAGGCGGCUUCCUGGACCGACACUGACGCUGAGGCGCGAAAGCUAGGGGAGCAAACGGG